UACAGAGGGGGCAAGCGUUGUUCGGAAUUACUGGGCGUAAAGGGCGCGUAGGCGGCCUGCUAAGUCGAACGUGAAAUCCCCGAGCUCAACUCGGGAACUGCGUCCGAUACUGACAGGCUUGAAUCCGGGAGAGGGAUGCGGAAUUCCAGGUGUAGCGGUGAAAUGCGUAGAUAUCUGGAGGAACACCGGUGGCGAAGGCGGCAUCCUGGACCGGCAUUGACGCUGAGGCGCGAAAGCUAGGGGAGCAAACAGG
rnacentral:rRNA from 1 species